rnacentral:rRNA from 1 species
UGGGGAAUAUUGGACAAUGGGCGCAAGCCUGAUCCAGCCAUGCCGCGUGAGUGAUGAAGGCCUUAGGGUUGUAAAGCUCUUUCGCCGGUGAAGAUAAUGACGGUAACCGGAGAAGAAGCCCCGGCUAACCUCGUGCCAGCAGCCGCGGUAAUACGAAGGGGGCUAGCGUUGCUCGGAAUUACUGGGCGUAAAGCGCACGUAGGCGGUUUCUUAAGUCGGGGGUGAAAUCCUGGAGCUCAACUCCAGAACUGCCUUCGAUACUGGGAAACUUGAGUUCGGGAGAGGUGAGUGGAACUGCGAGUGUAGAGGUGAAAUUCGUAGAUAUUCGCAAGAACACCAGUGGCGAAGGCGGCUCACUGACCCGAUACUGACGCUGAGGUGCGAAAGCGUGGGGAGCAAACA